rnacentral:misc_RNA from 1 species
GAGAAUGAAGGUUUUGAAAGAUUAUCAGCAAGAUUGAGCAAUUUGGAGGUUCUUGAUUUGAGUUACAAUUUCUUUAAUGAAAGCAUACUGCCUUCUUUGAAUGGAUUUUCAUCUCUCAAAUCUCUAAAUCUUGGAUAUAAUCAGUUUACAUUACCAAUUCAAGCACAAGACUUGCCUAAUUUUGAGAAUUUGGAAGAUUUGUUCUUGGACAAGAUUUCACUCAACAACAGCUUUCUUCAAAGAGUUAGAGUGAUGACUUCUCUGAAGGUUUUAUCACUGUCUGGUUGUGGACUAACUGGCUUAUUGCCAAAUGCUCAAGGACUCUGUGAAUUGAUAAAUCUUCAAAUGCUAGAUGUCAGCAACAAUGAUCUCCGGGGUACCUUGCCCUGGUGUUUGGUUAAUUUGAUAUCCCUUCAGCAAUUAGAUCUCUCUUUCAAUCAAUUUGCUGGAAAUAUCUCCCACUCUCCCCUUAAGAAUCUUACUUCUCUUGUGGACCUAAAACUUUCAAACAAUCACUUCCAAAUACCAUUCUCAUUAGGUCCAUUUUUUUACCAUUCAAACCUCAGGCAAAUCAAUGGUCAGAAUAAUGAAAUAUAUGUGGAAACAGAGUUGCAUUCAUCCCCCAAAUUCCAGUUAAAUUCCAUCCUUCUGUCUGGUUGUGGAAAUUGUGGACCCUUUCCCAACUUUCUCUAUCAUCAACAUGACCUGCAAAUAGUUGAUCUCUCAAAUAUGACAUUGAAAGGGAGUUUUCCUAACUGGUUGUUAACAAACAACACAAGGUUGGAAGUACUUCAUCUAGUAAAUAAUUCUCUUUCAGGACAUUUGGAACUUCCAUUUCAUCCUCAUAUUAAUCUGUUGGAAUUAGAUAUUUCCAAUAAUAACUUCCACAAUCACAUUCCCUUGGAGAUUGGAUCAUAUUUCCCAAAAUUGAUAUAUUUAAACAUGUCCAAAAAUGGUUUUGAUGGUAGCAUCCCCUCUUCCUUUGGCAAUAUGAGCUCUUUAGAGAUUUUAGACUUAUCUGACAAUCAGCUGUCAGGGAUCAUACCUGAACUCUUAGCCAUUGGUUGUUUCUCGUUAGAUACCCUUAUAUUGUCAAACAACAAUUUGCAAGGUCACAUAUUCUCUGAACAUUUUAACUUGACAAAGUUGUGGUGGCUGCAAUUGGAUGGAAAUAACUUCAGUGGAAGUAUCUCCAAUUGCUUGUCCACGAGCUCUUUGUCAAUUCUGGAUCUCAGAGAUAACCAUCUCUCUGGAAGGAUCCCAGGGUGGAUAGGCAAUUUAUCAUAUUUGAAGGACUUGGUCAUUUCGAAUAAUCAUCUUGAAGGUCCUAUUCCACUGGAAUUUUGCCAACUCCACUAUCUUGAAGUUUUGGACCUUUCAAAGAACAAUGUCUCUGGUAAUUUACCAUCUUGCUUUAGGCCUCCAUCAAUAAUACACGUUUACUUGUCUGAUAAUGGGAUAGAAGGGCCUAUGACAAAUGCACUUUCCGAAGGUGGUUUCCUAACUACGUUAGAUCUUAGCAAUAACCACAUAACUGGUAGAAUUCCAAAUUGGAUUGGUGGGCUUUCUGCAUUGAAAUUUCUUCUCCUGAAGAAUAACAAUUUUGACGGUGAGAUCCCACUUCAAAUGUGUCAUCAGUUCUACCAAUUAAGUUUGAUAGAUCUUUCUCACAACAACCUUUCCGGUCCCAUUCCUUCUUGUCUUACACCUGAUCUUUCUGCUGAGCCUCCAGAUCCUAAUGAUGUUAGCUUUUUGGAUCCACCCUUCUUUCCCUUCUUUCAACCAAAAAGGCCUUUAAAAUUUACAACAAAACAUUUUUCCUAUUCUUACCAGGGGAAAAUUCUACGGCUUAUGUCUGGACUUGAUCUCUCAUGCAAUAAACUGACAGGCAACAUUCCCUCUGAAAUUGGAAACUUGAGUAGGAGCCACGUGCUAAAUCUCUCAUACAAUGGCUUUACAGGUCCAAUCCCUUCAACAUUUUCAAAUCUAGAGCAAAUUGAGAGCUUAGAUCUUUCCUACAACAACUUGGAGGGGAAGAUCCCUUUUCAGCUUACCAAGUUAAACUAUUUGUCAGUUUUUAGCGUGGCACACAACAACCUAUCUGGAAUGACACCUGAAAGAACUGAACAACAUUUGAUGCAAGUAGCUAUGAGGGAAAUCCUUACCUCUGUGGAUUGCCAUUGCCAAAAAAUUGCACUUCAUCUACUGAAUCAUUAUCUUGGCCUAGAGCUUCAGCAAUGGAUGAAGAUAGUGGUUUUCUUGACAUGAAUGUAUUCUAUGCGAGUUUCACAGUUUCUUACAUAUUUGUGCUACUAGGAAUCUUCUUAGUUCUGUGCAUAAAUCCUCAAUGGCGACAUGCAUGGUUUUAUCUAAUUGAAAUGUGCAUUAGCUCUUGCCAGUACUCUGUUGUAAGCAAUAUGCCUAAGCUAUUCUGUCAUGGAAAUAAAUAGCUGCCACAUUCUUCUUGGAAUUAAGAGAUUGCAUUUUGUAUUAUUCAACUUAUCAAGCUCCGAGAGAUUGCAAUAUUAUUUAUUAUAUCAUAUUCGAUUGAGGCAAGCAUCCCAUUUUCAAGAAAAGCACUGGCGGCUGCCUGAUUAAUUCACGCUUCACAAGUUGCUUCCAUUUUCAAACUGAAAGCGAGAGCUUGAUGCCACACCCAAUGUAGCACGCAACAAAGCUUCUUUCCAUUGAAGUAUGCAGUGAGGAAUCGAGGAGACCAGAUUUAAUUAUGUGAUUUAAUCAAAUUCUUCCCUUCAUUAGUUUACCAACUUGUUUUGUUCGAUCUCUUUCUGAGCGUUUCGGCCGUCUCUUUUCUGACUGAAGAUGGAAUCAAAUUCCAAAUUGCAUGCUC